rnacentral:rRNA from 1 species
GACGAACGCUGGCGGCGUGCCUAAUACAUGCAAGUUGAGCGCUGAAGGUUGGUACUUGUACCAACUGGAUGAGCAGCGAACGGGUGAGUAACGCGUGGGGAAUCUGCCUUUGAGCGGGGGACAACAUUUGGAAACGAAUGCUAAUACCGCAUAAAAACUUUAAACACAAGUUUUAAGUUUGAAAGAUGCAAUUGCAUCACUCAAAGAUGAUCCCGCGUUGUAUUAGCUAGUUGGUGAGGUAAAGGCUCACCAAGGCGAUGAUACAUAGCCGACCUGAGAGGGUGAUCGGCCACAUUGGGACUGAGACACGGCCCAAACGCCUACGGGAGGCAGCAGUAGGGAAUCUUCGGCAAGGGACGAAAGUCUGACCGAGCAACGCCGCGUGAGUGAAGAAGGUUGUCGGAUCGUAAAACUCGGUUGGUAGAGAAGAACGUUGGUGAGAGUGGAAAGCUCAUCAAGUGACGGUAACUACCCAGAAAGGGACGGCUAACUACGUG